UUUUUGAACAUUUUUGUAGACGCGCUGGGCUGAGGUUUCCAUGCCUCUUCCACGCGGUCUACACCGUGUGUUCUAAAAGCGAUAAAGCCCCUUUAAAGACUUUGUGUAAUGGUGUUGGAGCCUACCCAAACACGCCCUGCAGAUGCAAUCUCUCCGGCACCAUGUGAAGAUGCUAACAAACGGCACCGAUUCAUGCUCUAAACAUAAACCCUAACCUUCACAUUGCUGCAUCUAUGUUUGGAUAACGGAUAUGGAUCAAAAUAAGACUAAUGAAUGUGCUGAGGAUACGUGAGAUCUUGGAUGAAAUCCUUGUGGAGGCAAAGGACCAAGCGGGAGAAUGAUAACUACAUUUGAAGAGGCAACAUCUUCAACGGUAUGUGUGAUUUCCUUUUUGAUAUUUACCAAAACGUUGAACCAUCCAAGGAAUAUUAUUGUGUUGACUUAGUAAAAGGUUAGUAAGAAUUUUCACUGGUUCACUAAACCUAGUGGGUUAGUAGGAAAUUGAAGGUUGGUGGAUUCAUCUAUUGACCUUGAGAAAGAGUUUGAUGCUGAUCUAAUGAAGGUUUUCCACUUAGGUCAAAGUACUACUUUUGGAAAGUGAUUUCAGUACACGCCUACACGAUCGGUUAUUUGAUUAUCACUAGGAAGUUCCCUAAUAUAUAGCAUAUAUAAUAUAU
rnacentral:lncRNA from 1 species